CUCGGCAUACUGCUCAGUAACACGCGGAUAACCUGCCCUUGGGUUCGGGAUAACCCCGGGAAACUGGGACUAAUACCGGAUAGAUCAAAGAAACUGGAAUGUUCUCUGGUCAAAAACUCUGGUGCCCAAGGAUGGGUCUGCGGCCUAUCAGGUAGUAGUGGGUGUAACGUACCUACUAGCCUACGACGGGUAAGGGUUGUGAGAGCAAGAGCCCUGAGAUGGAUUCUGAGACAUGAAUCCAGGCCCUACGGGGUGCAGCAGGCGCGAAAACUUUACACUGCGGGAAACCGCGAUAAGGGGACCCCGAGUGCCAGCACCUAGUGCUGGCUGUCCAGCUGUCCAAAUAACAGUUGUUAGCAAGGGCCGGGCAAGACCGGUGCCAGCCGCCGCGGUAACACCGGCGGCCCGAGUGGUAGCCGUUAUUAUUGGGUUUAAAGGGUCCGUAGCCGGCCUAUUAAGUCUCUUGGGAAAUCUGGCGACUCAAUCGUCAGGCGUCCAAGAGAUACUGGUAGGCUUGGGACCGGGAGAGGUGGGAGGUACUCCAGGGGUAGGGGUGAAAUCUCGUAAUCCUUGGGGGACCACCGAUGGCGAAGGCAUCCCACCAGAACGGGUCCGACGGUGAGGGACGAAAGCUGGGGGCACGAACCGGAUUAGAUACCCGGGUAGUCCCAGCCGUAAACGAUGCUCGCUAGGUGUCAGGUGCGGUGCGACCGCAUCUGGUGCCGCAGUGAAAACUUGAAGCGAGUCACCUGGGAAGUAC
rnacentral:rRNA from 1 species